GACGAACGCUGGCGGCGUGCUUAACACAUGCAAGUCGAACGGAAAGGCCUGCUUUCCCUUGUGGAUUGCGGGUACUCGAGUGGCGAACGGGUGAGUAACACGUGAGUGAUCUGCCCCCAACUUGGGUAUAAGCCUGGGAAACUGGGUCUAAUUCCCGAUAGGACUGCAGGGUGGUGCCUGUGGUGGAAAACGAUUUUCUAGUGGUUGGGGAUGAGCUCGCGGCCUAUCAGCUUGUUGGUGGGGUAAUGGCCUACCAAGGCGGCGACGGGUAGCCGGCCUGGGAGGGUGGACGGACACAUUGGGACUGAGAGACGGCCCAGACUCCUACGGGAGGCAGCAGUGGGGAAUAUUGCACAAUGGGCGGAAGCCUGAUGCAGCGACGCCGCGUGGGGGAUGACGGCCUUCGGGUUGUAAACUCCUUUCGACCGCGAGGAAGCCACCUGGUUGGAAGGGUGGUGACGGUAGUGGUAGAAGAAGCACCGGCUAACUACGG
rnacentral:rRNA from 1 species